rnacentral:rRNA from 1 species
AUUGAACGCUGGCGGCAUGGCUAAAACAUGCAAGUCGAACGCGAAAGAGGAGCAAUCCUCGAGUAGAGUGGCGAAAGGGUGAGUAAUACGUUCCUACGUGCCUUGAGGUCAGGGAUAGCCAGGGGAAACUCUGGGUAAUACCUGAUGUGGUCUCCGGAUCAAAGGCUUGCCGCCUCGAGAGCGGGGAACGUCCUAUCAGCUAGUUGGUGAGGUAAUGGCUCACCAAGGCGAAGACGGGUAGCGGGUGUGAGAGCACGGCCCGCCACAUCGGAACUGAGACACUGUCCGGACUCCUACGGGAGGCUGCAGUAACGAAUCUUCCGCAAUGCGCGAAAGCGUGACGGAGCGAUGCCGCGUGCAGGAUGAAGCCCUUCGGGUGUAAACUGCUGUCAGGGAUUAGCAACACAAUGAGCAGUCCCAACGGAAGAGACGACUAACUCUGUGCCAGCAGUCGCGGUAAUACAGAGGUCUCGAGCGUU